AUAGCCAUACGCAUAUAUUGCUAUUUUCGUUUAUUCACUCUGUAAUCCAAAUCGGUUUCUGUAUUCUGUGUCCUUCUCACACAUAUGCCAACCCCAAAUCCCUGCUGAGGAGACCAUGAAGGACGAAACGCCGCAUACAGAUUACAGGAAUGCUGAAUUUUACACACAUAACUAUCUCAUUUUAUGUCACAAUUAAUAGUCCCUAAAUGUUUAGUAGAUCAAAAAAUGUAGUGUGAAAUAUGAUGUGAUGGCC